UAGCAGCAAAAGGUACAUUUUAUACCCCCACUUUUCCAGUGAACGUCGUUUCGGCAAGUGAACAUUCUAACAACUUUUUCGUGUGAGUAUUAAUUAAUCCGGAAAUGGAGCCCAGCUACAGGGAAAAGCGGGAGUGGCUUAACAACCGCAGCAAUGGUACUUCCAACUAUGGAGCCCAUCGGGUCACUAGCGGCUACUCCGGCCAAUUGGGGCAGCCCCCCCAAACGGGUCGCAGUCUGGGUGGGUGGGCCCCUUGGUCGGGGCCAAACACAACCACAAACUCCACGCCUUACAACUCUUCUACUGAUUACCGAAAUCCUGCUGCCCCGCAGGCCAACUCUCUUUGGAGCCGCGAAAGAGCCGGGUACCACCGGAAUCAAGAACAAGUCCAAGCGAGACCCACUAACAAUAACAGCAUGAACAACCGAUCGUGGUCGGCCAGUCGCGGACCUGCUGCUCCUCCUCCCCCUUCCAUCGGGGGGGACCAGUGGCAGGAUCGUGGACAGGCACAGGGACAGGGGCAUGGUCCAAAUCCAAUUCCAUGUCCAAGUCCCAAAAUGCAGUCCAUAAUGAUACAAGCGGAAGAAAAGAAUGUACCGAAUCACAUUCGAGAUCAGCUCUUCGGACUUAGCGGCGCUAAACGCAAGUGGUUCUAUCGCUACCUCGAAAUGGGCUGCAGUCAUGAGGAUGCCCUAUCCAAGUCCUUGGAUAGACUGACCAAUCCGGUUGGCUUCAAGGGUGGCGCACUCAAGUGGUACGAGAAUUACAUUGCCAGCGGUUGCACCGAGAAGGAGGCUUGUGCCAAGAUGCUGGAGUACAAGCGGAAUCAUCCACUCAGUCGCGACCGCAAGGUUCCGGAGCAGACAGCUGUUCCGGAUGAUCGCGGUCGCAAGCGUCCGAUCGAUGACAACUCCCAUGGCGGCAGGGCCAAGGAGGAGCUCAAGAAGCAGCGAAGGGCUGCAGAGUUGCCUCCGAAGCGAAGCUUUGUCAUGGCCGUCAUGUCGGAUAAGUAUCCCACAUGCGUACUGAGCAAGAAGCAACUGUCUAGGAUCGAGGCCGCCCUCGUGGAGGAAAUGCGAAAAGGUUGGAAGACCAGUAUCAACUUUGGAGGCAUCCAAUUUCUCCCGGGGCUGAUUCUGGUUACCUGCAUUGACAGGAACUCUAAGAAGUGGCUGGAGCAUGUGGUGCCGAAUAUCACCGUCAUACAGGGGAUCAAACUAACCUCCUGUCCGGAGUACGAGAUUCCCUCCACCAAGGGGAUAACUGUCUUGGUACCGCGCUCCGCCGACGAGCCCGAUAAAAUAACAACUGAACUUCUGAUCGAUCAGAAUGCAGACCUCCUGUCGAAAACUUGGCAAGUUGUCCGCACUACCAUGACCAAGGAGGGCAACAAGCUGAUGACGAUCACCCUAAGUGACAAGUCCUUGGAGCUGCUGAAGAUAAAGGGCAUGACAGUUAGCUAUCGUUUUAGCCAGCUUUCGUGUCGCCUAAUGAGCGGCAAGGAUGCUCUUAAGUCGGUUCGCGUCAACUACACGGAGCCCCGUCCACUACCACCAAAGAAAGAUGCCCAGUCCGCCGAAAUCGACCUCACUGAGGAGGAUAGUGAAGAAUAUAUUUCUCAGCUUAACCUGGUUGUUGUGGACGAGGUCAAGGGAGAUGAUGACGAGAACGAAGCGGCUGAAGAUGAAGAACUAACUGACGGGGAACACAAUGCCCUGGAGAUUGUUGAAGAAGAGCACGACGAUGGUGAGAUUGCUGAGGAGGAGCACGUGGAGGAGGAGGCUGCUGAAGGGGAGUACGUCGAGGAGGAGGCUGCUGAAGGGGAGCCUGAGGAAUCAUACGAAGUUGAGGAGAGUGUCGGAGACGAGCAUGACCAGGAGGAAGAAACUGAGCAUGCUGAUGAGGAAGAGAAUCAGCAUGCUGAUGAGGAAGUGGUUGAGACUGGGACAACCACCAGAGAAUAAGCAUCUCCUUGUAAGUAUGCACCAUUGAAGGAAAGCCAAUGCUUAAUGGCGAUCUCAAGAAACACUUGAUGCACUGCAACAUUUAAAACUAAACCAUUACUUCAUUCGCAACACGCCCUAGACAUUAGAAUUAACCACAAAGAAGCUCGGACAUGGAUACACAUGGUUUAGUAACCAACGAACAUAAGUUUUAAUCAAAUUAAAAACCUCUUGCGGCAGUAUCUGGAAAUAUUGCACAUCCUUCCACAUUUUGACAUCAUAUUAUACAUACCAAAUCUGUAUUAUGAUUUUCAUUAAAAACGGUUGGUUUUGGACUAAAACAUGUGCCAAAAACAUCAGUAAA